rnacentral:rRNA from 1 species
GUGAGGAAUAUUGCGCAAUGGAGGCAACUCUGACGCAGCCAUGCCGCGUGCAGGAAGAAGGCGCUACGCGUUGUAAACUGCUUUUAACCGGGAAGAAACCCCAGGACGUGUCCUGGGUUGACGGUACCGGAGGAAUAAGCACCGGCUAACUUCGUGCCAGCAGCCGCGGUAAUACGAAGGGUGCAAGCGUUAUCCGGAUUCAUUGGGUUUAAAGGGUGCGUAGGCGGAGCGUUAAGUCAGUGGUGAAAUCCUGCAGCUUAACUGUAGACUUGCCAUUGAUACUGGCGCUCUUGAGUGCGCUUGAAGUGGGCGGAAUGUGCCGUGUAGCGGUGAAAUGCUUAGAUAUGGCACAGAACACCAAUUGCGAAGGCAGCUCACUAAGGCGAUACUGACGCUGAGGCACGAAAGCGUGGGGAUCGAACAGGAUUAGAUACCCUAGAAGUCC